UCCUCGAUAGCUCAACGGCAGAGCAUCCGGCUGUUAACCGGAGGGUUGUAAGUUCGAAUCUUACUCGGGGAG
rnacentral:tRNA from 1 species